AUCGCUUCUUGGCCUUUUGGCUAAGAUCAAGUGUAGUAAAAUGUACAUGGGAAAUUCAAAAUAACAAAAAUAAAAUGUUUAUGGAAAAAUUGAAUAAAAGAUAAGGCUUUAAUUGCAAGCAAUAGCAAAAUUUAAUGUUUUUUUUUCCAUAACACAAAUUUUCCAAGAACUUGAAGACCACGCAUA